UACGUAGGGUGCAAGCGUUGUCCGGAAUUAUUGGGCGUAAAGAGCUCGUAGGCGGUCUGUCGCGUCGGCUGUGAAAACCCGUGGCUCAACCCCGGGCCUGCAGUCGAUACGGGCAGACUAGAGUGCGGUAGGGGAGACUGGAAUUCCUGGUGUAGCGGUGAAAUGCGCAGAUGUCAGGAGGAACACCGGUGGCGAAGGCGGGUCUCUGGGCCGUAACUGACGCUGAUGCGCGAAAGCCAGGGGAGCGAACGGG
rnacentral:rRNA from 1 species